rnacentral:rRNA from 1 species
UACGAAAGGGGCUAGCGUUGCUCGGAAUCACUGGGCGUAAAGCGCACGUAGGCGGCUUCUUAAGUCAGGGGUGAAAUCCUGGAGCUCAACUCCAGAACUGCCUUUGAUACUGGGAAGCUUCGAGUCCGGAAGAGGUGAGUGGAACUGCGAGUGUAGAGGUGAAAUUCGUAGAUAUUCGCAAGAACACCAGUGGCGAAGGCGGCUCACUGGUCCGGUACUGACGCUGAGGUGCGAAAGCGUGGGGAGCAAACAGG